UACGUAGGUGGCAAGCGUUGUCCGGAUUUACUGGGCGUAAAGAGCGCGCAGGCGGUCGUUUAAGUCGAAUGUGAAAGCCCCCGGCUCAACUGGGGAGGGUCAUUCGAUACUGAUCGACUCGAAGGCAGGAGAGAGAAGUGGAAUUCCCGGUGUAGUGGUGAAAUGCGCAGAUAUCGGGAGGAACACCGGUGGCGAAGGCGGUUCUCUGGGCCUGUACUGACGCUGAGGAGCGAAAGCGUGGGGAGCGAACAGG
rnacentral:rRNA from 1 species